rnacentral:lncRNA from 1 species
GGGAAGGUAAGAUGUACGCAGUCCAUACCACUACCUCCAAAAAAGUAGAGAGGUUGUUUUCGAUAGACCCCCGACUCAAGAUAAAGGAUAGUAAAAAAGGGGAUGAAUGACAUAACCAAAAUAAAGAAUAAGAAAUAAUAAAAUAAAAAUCAGAGAAAUAUGAAAUACGGGAAAUAAAAGCAACACGAAAUAAGAAAAAUAGGAACUAAGAAAUAAGAAAUAGGGCACCCACCUAGUAGUAACAUACACUCACAUACCAAAGACACCUAUGUACACUGUCCUAUGAUUACUAACCCGGCUACACAAGAACUCUCCUGACUGCUUGCUACAACCCACACACUAACACUAGCCUUCUACCCUUAUCCUCGACUUCCACACCAUCCUUUCUAGGGUCAUGUCCUCAGUAAGCUGAAGCUGAU